UUGAAUGGACAGGUUUUGAGUUGAAGCCCCAGUACCAGCACCAAAAAAACAAAACAAAAACAACAAUAAAUAAAUACCUUUAAGGUUGCAUGCUUAGUACAUUUACCUUAACUAUUUUUCUCAAGUGGCUAGAGCCUUAAUUGAAGUCAUGUGAUAUAGUGAUAUGCUAGGGGAAAGAGGAGAGGUAUCGGUGACAGUAAUGGUGUGAAUACCAUAACAAAUGGAGGUGGAGGUGGUGAUGGUGGUAGUGAUGACAGUACCAAAAAGAGAGGGAGUGGUGAUGGUGGUAAUGGCAGUGGCAUGGGCAACAAUGCUAUCUUUGCAGAAAGCAGUGGCUUGAGGUGUUUGCAAUCACCUUUAAACACAAAUAUGCUCAGUGAAGCUUACAACUGGCAUUUGAUAGAUUUUUUUUCCUGCUAAAUUAUGAUGAAUUUGGAUUAUUGUAGAAGAGAUGAGUACAUUCCCUCUUUCUUUAGAGAAAGCACACCCCCCCCCUUUUUUUUUUUUUUUUUUUUUGCCAGUAUUGGUGCUUGAACUCAGAGCCUGGGCAGUUCCUUAGCUUUUUCCAUUCAAGGCUAGUACUCUGCCAAGUGAGCCACAGCUCCACAUUUGACUUCUUACUGGUCAAUUGGCUCUGAGUCUUAUGGACUUUCCUACUCAGGCUGGCUUUGAACUGUGAUUUUCAGAUCUCAGCCUCCUGAGUAGCAAGGAUAACAGGUAUGAGCCAUCAGCGUCUGACUAGCAGGUCUCCAUUUCAGAGCCAAAGAGCAAGCUUUCUUUUUUUUUUCUAUAGGUUUGUAUAUAAUCAAGGUAUCUGGGGACUUGAAGUUCUUGGGCCUGAUUAGUGGAAAGCAGAAUAUAUCUAGUAUUCCUACCCAAAUGGAAAAGCUGUCCUGUUGUAGGAGCCAUACACUGUGCUUUACCUGCAUCAUAUCGGUAAACCUUUUCAAGAACUCUGUAAAAUAUGUCUUUAUUGUCUUGGUUUUAUAGGGGAGGAAAGAUAAGCUUAGUAUCAAAACUAGGAUUUGAAAACCUUGGUCUGUGAAACUUCAAACCCUAUACCUUUUUCUCCACUGCAGCUGAUUCAUUCCUUCUAGAACCUUGUAGAAUCCUUCUUGUCUUAGGUGAGGGUAUGGGAAGAAAUUUAUGAGAUUAUUCCAUAUUUGGUUUUCUUCUCUAACUGACUGUGGGAGAGGGGGAGAGAAUGUCUUUUCUCCUUACGUAUUUCCUUACACUGGUAGUGUACUCAGAUGACCCUUUUAAAAUUUAUAUGGGAACUAUUUAGAGGCUCUUCCCGUAUGUUUUCAAGGCUAGCGCUGUGGAGUGAUCUUUUCCUGACCUGGCUGGUCUUUGGCCAAAUAGGACAUUGAGCAAGCCAAAAACCAAGCCCCAGCAGAAAAAAGCAAAUAGAGAUAAAUAUUUAUCCUCAUCCCAGUGGGAUCCCUAGCUUUUCAGGAUCAAAGGCCUACUUUAUAUGUGCGCCUGUUCAUAAUAAGUCUUGGAUAAGUACAGAGAAGUAGGCAAUCUGUAGUAUAGUAAAGGCUCUGUGGUACCCAGGCUCUUUAACCCUCAAAUUCCCUAGUGAUGUUUUUUUUAAAAAAUCCUAUUUAUAAAAAUGUAAGUUGCAUUUCCUAGAAUAAAAAAGAGGAACAGAACUAGAAACCAAAAAGAAAACAAGAAGAGAAAAAAAUGGCAAAGAAAGAACUGUAGGCAGAAAGUCAGAAGGAGUUGGGGAAUGAACAGUGGUUUUGGGAAUUAGUACUAGGUAAUAUUUUGUUAAAGGAAGAAUGGGGGCAGAUACUAUGAUAUAUGCUUAUUCCUUGUCUUUUUGAAAUACAAUCUUAUUUUUGAUGGGAGUCCAGUUAUCUUUUUUCAUUAAUUAUGCUUUUAGUAUCACGUCUAAGAAUCCAUUGUCUAAUCUGAGGUGAUGAAGAUUCUCAUCUUAUGUUUUCCUUUAAAUUUCAUAAUUUUAUCUGUUACAUUUAGACCUUUGAUCCAUUUUAAAUUGGUGUGUGUGUGUGUGUGUGUGUGUGUGUGUGUGUGUGUGUGUGUAUGUGUUGAGGGCCUUUUGCAUAUGUAUUCCUCCUACCUGUCUCAGAAUUUUCUGUCUUAAUUUCACAAUAUGCAUGGUGUCUAUGUUGGGUGGCAGGUACUAGUACUGUGGACAACAUAUAGCCAAGGUCAGAGUUUCACACAGCAUAGCAGAAGAUGGGAAGUGAGUGUAGUAGGAAGGAGUUGAAAAUUUUAAAAAGUAGAAUUUUGGAAGAAUUAAACUCUUUCUCUAAAAAAGUAGCAUUCAUUAGUUGUGAAGGGAGCUUUGGGUUAUUUCCAUACAUUCAUGUGAUAUAUCUCAAUCAAACUCACCCUCUCUAUCAGUCUACUUUAUUCCAUUCCCCCUUCUUAACACAAUUUCACCAAGUGAAAUUAAAUGGCUUUAAUUAUAGACAUCUUCUUUCACCCUCUUAGUUAGUGCUCCUCUUGAGCAGAGGUUACCAACAUGUAAUGUGAGGAAAACUACAUCAAAAUUACCUGAAUUACUUGUU